CUCUAAAAUAGAUUUUGGCUCCAUUUGUUUUGUUUUUUUUUAUUGCUUUGCCCUCAUCAUUUUUUCUUUCGGUAGGAGGGCGUUUACUAUGUCAAAAAUUCAUUUUCACUGUGUACUAAGUAUGUGCAAAUUUUGGUGAGUCGUGGAGUGUGAGCAAAAUUUUCGCACAAAGGCACACCACAAAGAAGUGUGGUCUUUGCAGUCCUGGACUGCUUAACUUAACUUUUCACAUUCUUUCAAACACCGCGCUGUUAGCAUACCAAUGCUUUGCAGCCCAUAGAACUAGACAGCAUUUACACUUUGGAGUGCAUCCGGGAGAAAAAAAAAACUAUAUAAGAUCACAUCACAUUUGGCCCAAUUCUCUCGCCUGAGGUUUGCGCCGAUCAUAUUCAAGCACCGGGGAGGACCAGCCACUUUGCAUGUGAGACGAGAGGGAAAACUCUGCCAGCUUUGCAUUGCCCAUAAGUAGGCUACUUAUUACAACAUAUUCAUUAGUGAAAGACUGGCAGUGAGCGAUAUGGAGUUGGUGGAAAAAUGACCUCAUAUCUGGGGAAAAAUUUGUUUACAGGAGCCUCUGCAGCCACAGACACGAUGCCUGCAGUGUGGGGAGAAACUGGAGUGGUCAGACGAGCACAGUGUCCUCCUUGGCUGCUCAUGUUGCUCUACAGUGGAUGAGACCAUUGAGAAUGUAGCCAGAGGCCUGGCCAGUAAAAUGAAGAAGAAGAGUCACUGGGCGGCUGGAAGAGUUGGUGACAUUGACUUUUGUGGAACCAAUAAGACUCGAGGAAAGUUUGUGAAGGUGCGCAGCAACACAGAACCGGUGCAGAUCUACCAGAUGCUGACUCAGGAAUGGGGCCUGUCUCCCCCACACCUGGUAGUAGCAGUGGUGGGGGGAGAUGAGCUGGCUCAGAUGAAGCCUUGGCUCAGGGACACUCUCAGAAAAGGACUCGUGAAGGCUGCACAGAG